UUCAGAGACCACCCUCACCCUCUCACAGACACCUCCUACUAAGAGGACUCUCUGUUCAUGUCUCAGACUUCCUCACAGAUAUUCUUAGAUCUUCCUUCUUCAGUCAUGCUCAGCUGAAAGAUGGCUACUGGUGAAUCUGCAAUGUGUGACACAGCCAUGUCUAUAGCAGGAAGGGAAGAACAGAGAAUCUUUCAGAACCUUCCAGCAGCAGUCCUUCAUCACUCAACACUAUUUGGAGAAUCAGAUGAUAUACUAUGCUGAAGCAAUCACUGACACAAGGAUCCAAAGGG